UACGGAGGGUGCAAGCGUUAUCCGGAUUUACUGGGUUUAAAGGGUGCGUAGGCGGAUAAUUAAGUUAGAAGUGAAAUCCCGAAGCUCAACUUCGGAAUUGCUUCUAAUACUGGUUAUCUUGAAUUCGGUUGAGGUAUGCGGAAUAUAACAUGUAGCGGUGAAAUGCGUAGAGAUGUUAUAGAACACCAAUUGCGAAGGCAGCGUGCUAAACCGAUAUUGACGCUGAGGCACGAAAGCAUGGGUAGCGAACAGG
rnacentral:rRNA from 1 species